rnacentral:lncRNA from 1 species
AUGCUGGCUUGAAAUGGGAGAGAGAAAGAACUGCCACAUAAUUUGCAAGAUCUUUUUUGAAAAAGAAAAGGUAUUAAGAAUUCCAGGACAGCAUUAGGAAUGUAUUAAACCAGGAUAAGGAACAGCGGAGCUUCCCCCUAAGACCCUGGUGUGUUUCUGCAUCAGGAAACCUUCUCUCCUGCAAUGUGGUCUAGGAUGGAGCUCUAUGAGGAGAGAGACCCUACUAUUCACUUUUCUAUUUCCAGGCCACUGCAGACUGUCUCAUGGCGUUUAAGAUUGAACAACAUGGUGCCUUUGCCAGAAGUUAACAGGAAACCCAAAAGGAGAUGAGCCAGACUGGAAGAAGAUAGACAAAAACACCAGAGGAGCUGCUCCCAG